UGGGGAAUUUUGCACAAUGGGGGAAACCCUGAUGCAGCGACGCCGCCUGAUUUAGAAGGCCUUCGGGUUGUAAAAAUCUUUUCUAUGGGAAGAAAAUGACAGUACCAUAGGAAUAAGGACCGGCUAAUUACGUGCCAGCAGCCGCGGUAAUACGUAAGGUCCGAGCGUUGUCCGGAAUCAUUGGGCGUAAAGGGUACGUAGGCGGGUAAGCAAGUUAGAAGUGAAAUCCUAUAGCUCAACUAUAGUAAGCUUUUAAAACUGCUCAUCUUGAGGUAUGGAAGGGAAAGUGGAAUUCCUAGUGUAGCGGUGAAAUGCGCAGAUAUUAGGAGGAAUACCGGUGGCGAAGGCGACUUUCUGGCCAUAACCUGACGCUGAGGUACGAAAGCGUGGGUAGCAAACAGG
rnacentral:rRNA from 1 species